GCCCGCAUGGCUAAGUGGUAUAGCGUCUCACUAGUAAUGAGGUUCUUCGGAUCAUGAGAAGAUCGGCGGUUCGAUUCCGCCUGUGGGCA